UACGGAGGAUCCAAGCGUUAUCCGGAUUUAUUGGGUUUAAAGGGUGCGUAGGCGGAAUUGUAAGUCAGUGGUGAAAUCCUACAGCUUAACUGUAGAACGGCCAUUGAUACUGCAGAUCUUGAGUAUAUUUGAAGUGGGCGGAAUGUGUCAUGUAGCGGUGAAAUGCUUAGAUAUGACACAGAACACCGAUUGCGAAGGCAGCUCACUAAACUAUAACUGACGCUGAGGCACGAAAGCGUGGGGAGCAAACGGG
rnacentral:rRNA from 1 species